rnacentral:rRNA from 1 species
GACGAACGCUGGCGGCGUGCUUAACACAUGCAAGUCGAACGGAAAGGCCCUGCUUUUGUGGGUUGCUCGAGUGGCGAACGGGUGAGUAACACGUGAGUAACCUGCCCUUGACUUUGGGAUAACUUCAGGAAACUGGGGCUAAUACCGGAUAGGAGCUCCUGCUGCAUGGUGGGGGUUGGAAAGUUUCGGCGGUUGGGGAUGGACUCGCGGCUUAUCAGCUUGUUGGUGGGGUAGUGGCUUACCAAGGCUUUGACGGGUAGCCGGCCUGAGAGGGUGACCGGCCACAUUGGGACUGAGAUACGGCCCAGACUCCUACGGGAGGCAGCAGUGGGGAAUAUUGCACAAUGGGCGGAAGCCUGAGGCAGCAACGCCGCGUGCGGGAUGACGGCCUUCGGGUUGUAAACCGCUUUCGCCUGUGACGAAGCGUGAGUGACGGUAAUGGGUAAAGAAGCACCGGCUAACUACGUG